CACCUGUGUAACUGGGAAGAAAAGUAGCGUGUGUGUGGGAAAUUGUUCAUGCUGCAGAAGCAGCAUAAGCCUUCAAUGUGAUCAUCUUCCUUCAUCAUGCUCUCGAUGGAAAAUGCAAGCAGUAAUGCUGUGCAUGUGCCAUCCCACAAGCAUAGACUGGGGGUGCUGCAAGAUGCAGCUUUCUCAGCAGUGGUGUUGGAAGAGACUCUGUUCUGUGGUUUGGCUGCUCUGAGGCAUGUAAAGAAAAGGAGUGAAAAACCUGUCAAAUAAUUAGCAAAACAAUGCAAAUCAGAAAUGAAAAAAGUCUUACAGGCUGUGGUUUAGGAUGAGAAGAUCUGAAAUCCCAUUUCCAGCUUUGUUGCAG